AGUAUUGGUUUGCUAAGUAGGGUUAAGAAAAUUCAAUUUUCUUAGUUAACCGUUUUCUUAAAUUUAAGACAAAUGUUUAAUUAAUUUUGUUUUCCUGUUUAACUGUUUAUUCAUCUAAAAUUUUUAGCCAAUUGCUAAUGAAGUUCAACUUAUUCUGAACCAGGUUAUUUAAUCAGACUAUUUACUUUCUUCAUGUAGAUCACCUUGAAUUGAAUAUUGUUGUUCUUAAGCCUAGUAAGCUUUGGUUGCCUUUAUACAAAAUCAUUGAGGAUAAAUGCUGUUGAAAAACCUUUGACGGACAAAUGGACUAGCUUGAUGGACAAGAAACGGAUCUGACUGUGGCUGUUAGGAGCACCAUUUUAUAUGUCAUGCGAAGGAUUCGAGUCUCUCUUCAUUAUGGUUAAUUUUGGUUGUAUAUCCUGAAUUCACAUGAAUAACUUGCCUCAACCCGAAUUGCUUUUUUCAAAAAACCAAUUAAAACUGUUCGCUUCUUACAUAAUCAAAGCCACCAAGUAAUCUUUGAACAAAGGAGGAGGAAAAGGAAUUCAUAUGUAGACUAAAGAGAGAGAAAAGUUUCUUGAAGAAAAUGAUUCAAAGGUAUUCUGAAAGUUACCCCAAGCCCAAGUUCCCGGUGCUGCUGACCAAGCAAUAACUUCAAGUGAAUUGAGUUUCAACCAUGAGAAACAAAAAAAAGAGGAGAAAUUAAAAUGGAAUCAAGAAUAAGAUUAAGACUGGAAACAAGACACUGGAACGCAAUAAACGUUGAUAUGAUAACAUA